rnacentral:rRNA from 1 species
UAUUGUGGGCAUAUUGGUUUGUCAAAGCCUGAUCUGGUUAGAUCUCAGAAGCUAAGCAAAGCUGGGCCUAUUUAGUAUUUGGAUGGGAGACCACUGGGAAUUCCAGGUGCCACAGUGG